UGCGUAGGCGGAAAAUUAAGUCAGUAGUGAAAUCCCGCAGCUUAACUGUGGAACUGUUAUUGAUACUGGUUUUCUUGAAUAUAGUUGAGGUAGGCGGAAUGUGUAAUGUAGCGGUGAAAUGCUUAGAUAUUACGCAGAACACCGAUUGCGAAGGCAGCUUACUAAGCUAUGAUUGACGCUGAGGUACGAAAGCGUGGGGAGCGAACAGGAUUAGAUACCCUGGUAGUCC
rnacentral:rRNA from 1 species